ACCGCAAAAGCUCAGCUAAUAGAGCAACUUCCCGGUGGGUGGAAGGUCACUGGUUCGAUUCCGGUUUGCGGCG
rnacentral:tRNA from 1 species